GACGAACGCUGGCGGCGUGCUUAACACAUGCAAGUCGAGCGGUAAGGCCCUUUCGGGGGUACACGAGCGGCGAACGGGUGAGUAACACGUGGGUGACCUGCCCUUAGCUCUGGGAUAAGCCUGGGAAACUGGGUCUAAUACCGGAUAUGACUCCAUGACGCAUGUUGUGGGGUGGAAAGCCUUGUGCGGCUAGGGAUGGGCCCGCGGCCUAUCAGCUUGUUGGUGGGGUGAUGGCCUACCAAGGCGACGACGGGUAGCCGGCCUGAGAGGGCGACCGGCCACACUGGGACUGAGAUACGGCCCAGACUCCUACGGGAGGCAGCAGUGGGGAAUCUUGCGCAAUGGGCGAAAGCCUGACGCAGCGACGCCGCGUGAGGGAUGACGGCCU
rnacentral:rRNA from 1 species